GACGAACGCUGGCGGCGUGCUUAACACAUGCAAGUCGAACGGAAAGGCCCUGCUUUUGUGGGGUGCUCGAGUGGCGAACGGGUGAGUAACACGUGAGUAACCUGCCCUUGACUUUGGGAUAACUUCAGGAAACUGGGGCUAAUACCGGAUAGGAGCUCCUGCUGCAUGGUGGGGGUUGGAAAGUUUCGGCGGUUGGGGAUGGACUCGCGGCUUAUCAGCUUGUUGGUGGGGUAGUGGCUUACCAAGGCUUUGACGGGUAGCCGGCCUGAGAGGGUGACCGGCCACAUUGGGACUGAGAUACGGCCCAGACUCCUACGGGAGGCAGCAGUGGGGAAUGUUGCACAAUGGGCGGAAGCCUGAUGCAGCAACGCCGCGUGCGGGAUGACGGCCUUCGGGUUGUAAACCGCUUUCGCCUGUGACGAAGCGUGAGUGACGGUAAUGGGUAAAGAAGCACCGGCUAACUACGUGCCAGCAGCCACGGUGAUACGUAGGGUGCGAGCGUUGUCCGGAUUUAUUGGGCGUAAAGGGCUCGUAGGUGGUUGAUCGCGUCGGAAGUGUAAUCUUGGGGCUUAACCCUGAGCGUGCUUUCGAUACGGGUUGACUUGAGGAAGGUAGGGGAGAAUGAAAUUCCUGGUGGAGCGGUGGAAUGCGCAGAUAUCAGGAGGAACACCAGUGGCGAAGGCGGUUCUCUGGGCCUUUCCUGACGCUGAGGAGCGAAAGCGUGGGGAGCGAACAGGCUUAGAUACCCUGGUAGUCCACGCUGUAAACGGUGGGUACUAGGUGUGGGGUCCAUUCCACGGGUUCCGUGCCGUAGCUAACGCUUUAAGUACCCCGCCUGGGGAGUACGGCCGCAAGGCUAAAACUCAAAGGAAUUGACGGGGCCCCGCACAAGCGGCGGAGCAUGCGGAUUAAUUCGAUGCAACGCGUAGAACCUUACCUGGGUUUGACAUGGAUCGGGAGUGCUCAGAGAUGGGUGUGCCUCUUUUGGGGUCGGUUCACAGGUGGUGCAUGGCUGUCGUCAGCUCGUGUCGUGAGAUGUUGGGUUAAGUCCCGCAACGAGCGCAACCCUUGUUCACUGUUGCCAGCACGUUAUGGUGGGGACUCAGUGGAGACCGCCGGGGUCAACUCGGAGGAAGGUGGGGAUGACGUCAAGUCAUCAUGCCCCUUAUGUCCAGGGCUUCACGCAUGCUACAAUGGCUGGUACAGAGAGUGGCGAGCCUGUGAGGGUGAGCGAAUCUCGGAAAGCCGGUCUCAGUUCGGAUUGGGGUCUGCAACUCGACCUCAUGAAGUCGGAGUCGCUAGUAAUCGCAGAUCAGCAACGCUGCGGUGAAUACGUUCCCGGGGCU
rnacentral:rRNA from 1 species